UGGGGAAUUUUGGACAAUGGGCGCAAGCCUGAUCCAGUUAUGUUGCGUGUGGGAAGAAGGUCUUCGGGUUGUAAACCGUUUUUGUCGGGGAAGAAAAGUUUUGGGUUAAUAUUUUGGGGUGAUGACGGUACUCGAAGAAUAAGCAUUGGUUAACUAUGUGCCAGCAGUCGCGGUAAUAUGUAGGGUGUAAGCGUUAAUCGGAAUUACUGGGUGUAAAGUGUGUGCAGGUGGUUGUGUAAGACAGAUGUGAAAUUUUUGGGUUCAAUUUGGGAACUGCAUUUGUGACUGCAUAGCUGGAGUGUGGCAGAGGGGGAUGGAAUUCUGCGUGUAGCAGUGAAAUGCGUAGAUAUGCGGAGGAACACCGAUGGCGAAGGCAAUCCCCUGGGCCUGCAAUGACGCUCAUGCACGAAAGCGUGGGAAGCAAACA
rnacentral:rRNA from 1 species